rnacentral:rRNA from 1 species
AUGGCUCAGGAUAAACGCUGGCGGCGUGCUUAACACAUGCAAGUCGAACGGAGUGGUCUCCCGAGGAUUGAAGGUGCUUGCACCUGAUUGACUCAUUUGAAUCACUUAGUGGCGGACGGGUGAGUAACGCGUGGGUAACCUGCCUCACACAGGGGGAUAACAGUUGGAAACGACUGUUAAUACCGCAUAAGCGCACAGUGCCGCAUGGUACAGUGUGAAAAACUCCGGUGGUGUGAGAUGGACCCGCGUCUGAUUAGCUAGUUGGCGAGGUAACGGCCCACCAAGGCAACGAUCAGUAGCCGGCCUGAGAGGGUGUACGGCCACAUUGGGACUGAGACACGGCCCAAACUCCUACGGGAGGCAGCAGUGGGGAAUAUUGGACAAUGGGGGAAACCCUGAUCCAGCCGGCGCCGCGUGAGUGAUGAAGUAUUUCGGUAUGUAAAGCUCUAUCAGCAGGGAAGAAAUUGACGGUACCUGACUAAGAAGCACCGGCUAAAUACGUGCCAGCCGCAGC